CACGUAGGGCGCAAGCGUUGUCCGGAAUUAUUGGGCGUAAAGAGCUCGUAGGCGGACUGUCACGUCCGCUGUGAAAACCCAGGGCUCAACCCUGGGCCUGCAUUCGAUACGGGCAGACUAGAGUGUGGCAGGGGAGACUGGAAUUCCUGGUGUAGCGGUGAAGUGCGCAGAUAUCAGGAGGAACACCGGUGGCGAAGGCGGGUCUCUGGGCCAAUACUGACGCUGAGGAGCGAAAGCGUGGGGAGCGAACAGG
rnacentral:rRNA from 1 species